GCGGAGAAGGGCGGCGGUGUUGCGCGCGGGCAGGGAGGCGCUGGGGAGAGGAGCGGCAUCGUCGCGCGCUAGGCGGACAGGCAGGAGGGCGCGGCGCGGCGUGCGCACGCGCAGGGAGGCGCGGCAGCCCCGCGGCCAGUGCGCAGGAGGGCGCGGAGCAGCGGGCGCACGCGCAGGGAUCAAAACUUUUGUAAUUCAGGGGGAGGAGGACACCUGCAGCUUCGUCUUCCUCCGUCAGUGCCUUCGCUACCGCCUCCUAUUCGCAGAGGUGAUUUGAUCGAUUCAGCUUGGAGUUGCAUUGAGCCAUUGGUUGGGGACGCUGAUUUCAUCUUCUUGAUUGCGAAUCGGGGAUGGAUGUGAAUGUGAUUUGCGGGUUUGUAGGCUGACUGGGAAGGUCGCCGUCAUCACCGGCGGCGCCAGCGGCAUCGGCAGGGCGACGGCGGAGGAGUUUAUUGUCCCAAAUAAUGUGUUCUAAUCAUAUGACGGAGAUGCUGUACAUAUUGUCCCAAAUAAUGUGUUCUGUCAUCUUUUUUAAAUUGUGUCAAAAUUAUUGCUAAAAUUCUGUCAAAACUAUCCUAAAUAUAGUGUUCUGUCAACUUGUACAAAAUUUGUCUAACAUUUAGGUCCCAUAUUAAAUACGCACAAAUUUAACUUGAAACAUGUCCGGUGUUCAUGCCAAAAUUAUAGUAGAGGUAUAUUUGUCCAUUCACUACACAUUUAAAACCAUUACAUGAGGUAACAUAGUAGGGGCAAGCAGCUGCUUCAUUUAAAAAAGCAGGGGCAAUAUUACAAACCCUAAAAAAAAAAGGGGUAAAAUCACAAUUGAACUGUAAAGCGGGGUAAAAUCACAAUUGAACUGUAAAGCAAGGGUAAGAACACAAUUACCCCUAAAAUAAAUAUGAUAUGAAUAUUACACAUUA
rnacentral:lncRNA from 1 species